rnacentral:rRNA from 1 species
UCCGUAGGUGAACCUGCGGAGGGAUCAUUACAGAGUUCUUGCCCAGUAGGGUAGAUCUCCCACCCUGUGUUGAUAUAUACGUUUGUUGCUUUGGCAAGCCCGCUGGGCUUUGGUUCAGCCACCGGCUGCGGCUGGUGAGCGCUUGUCAGAGGACCCUAAAACUCUUGAAUAUUAGUAUCGUCUAAGCACUAUAUGAAUAGUUAAAACUUUCAACAACGGAUCUCUUGGUUCUGGCAUCGAUGAAGAACGCAGCGAAAUGCGAUAAGUAAUGUGAAUUGCAGAAUUCAGUGAAUCAUCGAAUCUUUGAACGCACAUUGCGCUCCUUGGUAUUCCGAGGAGCAUGCCUGUCCGAGCGUCAUUACAACCCUCAAGCUCUGCUUGGUAUUGGGCCUCAUCGGUAACGGUGUGCCCUAAAACGAGCGGCGGUACUGCCUGGCUCUAAGCGUAGUAAAUUUCUCGCUACAGAUGCCCGGGAGCUACCUGCCCUAACCCC